rnacentral:rRNA from 1 species
CCUCUGGUGUACCAGUUGUUCUGCCAAGGGCACUGCUGGGUAGCUAUGUCUGGACGGGAUAAGCGCUGAAAGCAUCUAAGCGCGAAGCCCCCUUUAAGAUAAGUUCUCCCGCUCGGAAAACGAGGUAAGACCCCAGAGAGAAGAUCUGGUUGAUAGGCCGGGUGUGUAAAGACAGUAAUGUCAAAGCUUACCGGUACUAAUAGGUCGAGGGCUUGACCUU